rnacentral:rRNA from 1 species
UACGUGGGGAGAAAGCGUUGUUCGGAUUUACUGGGCGUAAAGGGCGCGUAGGAGGUCAGCACAAGUCAGUUGUGAAAUCUCCGAGCUUAACUCGGAAAGGUCAACUGAUACUGUGCGACUAGAGUGCAGAAGGGGCAACUGGAAUUCUUGGUGUAGCGGUGAAAUGCGUAGAUAUCAAGAUGAACACCUUCGGCGAAGGCGGGUUGCUGGGCUGACACUGACGCUGAAGCGCGAAAGCCAGGGGAGCGAACGGG